UCCCUUCAAUCCUUCUUCACGGUGAUCGCCACCACCAAGCGCAACUCCCCGUUUCCCAAGCCCUCCCAGCUCGCCAGUAGCAGCACAAAGCGCUUUGAGGUGUGGUGCAGCAGUGGCGGCCGCAGAAACAUGCUGCUUGGACUGGGUGGUCUAUACGGCGCAAGCGGCCUGAUUCGCGAAGCUGAGGCGUUGCCGAUUGAAGCUCCUGACCUAAGCAAGUGCGACCCUGCAAGUGCCUAUACUACUCAGGCCGAGCAGACAAUAAGUCUGGACGUGAACUGCUGCCCACCCUUCACCGACGUUCAGACCGACUACACCCUUCCGGUGUUCACUAAGCCUCGCAUUAGGCCGGCGGCGCACAGGAUGACACCAGAGUACAUAGCCAAGUACGAGUUAGCCAUCCAGAAGAUGAAGGAACUGGACAAGACGGACCCCAGCGAUCCCUGCGGCUUCGCUCAGCAAGCCAACAUCCAUUGCGCUUACUGCAACGGCCCCUACGACCAGGUCGGCCACCCCGGCAUCGAUAUCCAGGUUCACAACUCAUGGAUCUUCUUCCCCUUCCACAGGUGGUACAUCUAUUUCUUCGAGAGGAUCAUGGGGGAACUCAUCGGAGAUCCCGAUUUUGCCCUGCCCUACUGGAACUGGGACAACCCUAGGGGCAUGCAGAUUCCCACAUGUUUGACAGGGUUCCAUCACCGCUCUACGACUGUAACUGCAACCCACUCAAUCGCUUCCCUGCCCUCGUUGCUCGUAACAUAACCACCCCCCAAUCACCGAUCAUGUACAGAUCAUCAACAAUAAUCUCACUCAGAUGUACAAGGAAAUGAUUGGCGAUGUCGAAUCCGUCCUCGACUUCAUGGGCACUCCUUACGUUGAUGGAGACCCGCCCCCACCGCGCGGCAAUGGAGGAUCAUCCGAGGGCGGCUCACACGCCGGCGCCCACGUCUGGACUGGACACCCCGAGAACACUUUCUGCGAAGACAUGGGAAACUUCUACUCCGCCGGAAGAGACCCAGCCUUCUACGCCCAUCACGCUAAUGUCGAUAGAAUGUGGACCAUAUGGAAAACUAUCCCAUCUGAUUUUCCAAAGGAUAUCACCGACCAGGUCGUCCCCAACCCCGACAAUUUCAGCAACACUGCCUUCAUGUUCUACGACGAGAAGAAAAACCUAGUGCGCGUCAAGGUCGCCGACUGCUUGGACCACACCAAAAUGGGGUACGAGUAUGAAUAUACUGAAACUCCAUGGAUGGCUUACAGGCCACGUCAGAGGGCAGUCCCGGUCAAUAUCCAAGAUCUCUCCAAGAGGGCAGAGACUGGAGACCAACUCUUCCCCAUCACUCUCACCAACACUGUGAAUUGGUGCCCAAACCAACCAAAGGAAAAGCCGACGAAGUGCUGGUGCUGGAGAACAUUGUCAGCGAUAGCACCCUGCUCGUGAGGUUUGAUGUGUUCGUGAACGAUGAAGACGACAAGCCAGAGGAGCUCGACAGGGCCGAGUACGCUGGGGGGUACACGCAGGUUCCGCAUGGGGUGAGGGCCAGGGAAAGCGUCAAUGAUCUUCGCCUCAACUUGAGGGAACUCUAUGAGAACAUUAAUAUUGCUGAUGAUGAUUUUAUUGUGGUCACCAUCGUUCCCCACAUUAACGGUGACGCUGUUACCAUUGGUGGUAUUAAGAUCAUCCCGCAUGUUGCCGCUUGAUCUGCAUCGAUCACCAUGUUUGGGAUUUCUCGACUUAUAAUUUCUCCAUGUUUUUGUGUGGCGCUGAAUAAGCCUUUUCUUUCUUUCGAAUAACCGCGCGUUUUCAUGCUCCUUCUGUAUCUUCCCACUACUGGAAGAAUGUAAUAGUAUUUGUUUUAGUGAAAGUCUUUCUAUAUGUGUUAUGUGCCAUUU